GACGGAGGGUGCUAGCGUUGUUCGGAAUCACUGGGCGUAAAGGGCGCGUAGGCGGCCUUGCAAGUCGGUUGGUGAAAGCCCGGGGCUCAACCCCGGAGGUGCGGCCGAGAGUGCAGGGCUGGAGGCCGGAAGAGGAGGGUGGAAUACCCAGUGUAGAGGUGAAAUUCGUAGAUAUUGGGUGGAACACCGGUGGCGAAAGCGGCUCUCUGGUCCGGACCUGACGCUGAGGCGCGAAAGCGUGGGGAGCAAACAGG
rnacentral:rRNA from 1 species